GGCGAGAGACCGAUAGCGAACAAGUACCGUGAGGGAAAGAUGAAAAGUACUUUGAAAAGAGAGUUAAACAGCACGUGAAAUUGUUGAAAGGGAAACGAUUGAAGCCAGUCGUACCUGCGGACAAUCAGCUUUUUGAGUGUGAUUAUGUGGAUUGUGAGGAGUUUAAUCACCCUCAUGUUUUACGUAUUCGUGCUCUUGGGUGUACUUGCCCGUGUGGUAGGUUAACAUCAAUUUUGGUCGUCAUAAAA
rnacentral:rRNA from 1 species